rnacentral:lncRNA from 1 species
CAUGGAGUUUGAUGAAUCAAUGAAUGGCCAUGUCUCAUUUGGAGAUGCUACUUAUUCAACUCAAAGAUGGAAGCCAAUAGUUUAUUUCCAAUAUCUAUUAUGUGUCUGAUGUAAAAACCAAUAUUCUUAGUGUUGGGCAACCCUUCGAGAAAGAAUUUGAUAUGCAACUGAAGGAAGAAAGCUUCUAUCUAAAAAAAUAAAACAAACGAUUGCUCAUGUUCCUAUGUCAAAUAACCUCAUGUUUGUGCUAAAUAUAAAUCAUG